rnacentral:rRNA from 1 species
GACGAACGCUGGCGGCGUGCCUAAUACAUGCAAGUCGAACGAGAGCAACCGGUGCUUGCACUGGUCAAUCUAGUGGCGAACGGGUGAGUAACACGUGGGUAACCUGCCCAUCAGAGGGGGAUAACAUCCGGAAACGGAUGCUAAAACCGCAUAGGUCUUCGAACCGCAUGGUUUGAAGAGGAAAAGAGGCGCAAGCUUCUGCUGGUGGAUGUACCCGCGGUGCAUUAGCUAGUUGGUGAGGUAACGGCUCACCAAGGCCGUGAUGCAUAGCCGACCUGAGAGGGUGAUCGGCCACAUUGGGACUGAGACACGGCCCAGACUCCUACGGGAGGCAGCAGUAGGGAAUCUUCCGCAAUGGACGCAAGUCUGACGGAGCAACGCCGCGUGAGUGAAGAAGGUUUUCGGAUCGUAAAACUCUGUUGUUAGAGAAGAACAAGUGCUAGAGUAACUGUUAGCGCCUUGACGGUAUCUAACCAGAAAGCCACGGCUAACUACGUG